GAUGAACGCUGGCGGCGUGCCUAACACAUGCAAGUCGAACGGAGUCGUUUUGGAAAUCUCUUCGGAGAUGGAAUUCUCGACUUAGUGGCGGACGGGUGAGUAACGCGUGAGCAAUCUGCCUUUAAGAGGGGGAUAACAGUCGGAAACGGCUGCUAAUACCGCAUAAAGCAUUAAAUUCGCAUGUUUUUGAUGCCAAAGGAGCAAUCCGCUUUUAGAUGAGCUCGCGUCUGAUUAGCUAGUUGGCGGGGUAACGGCCCACCAAGGCGACGAUCAGUAGCCGGACUGAGAGGUUGAACGGCCACAUUGGGACUGAGACACGGCCCAGACUCCUACGGGAGGCAGCAGUGGGGAAUAUUGCGCAAUGGGGGAAACCCUGACGCAGCAACGCCGCGUGAGUGAAGAAGGCCUUCGGGUUGUAAAGAUCUUUAAUCAGGGACGAAACAAAUGACGGUACCUGAAGAAUAAGCUCCGGCUAACUACGU
rnacentral:rRNA from 1 species